UUCCUCAGGCCUCACACAGUCUCUUUUUCAAGUGAAACUACAGGAUGCUGGUGGGAGUUUUGCCACGGAGAAGGGGUAAGGAGAGCCCCUGAUGGAUGCCAUGCCAUCUCAGGAGACAGGGAGUUUCCCUGCCAGAGCCAGCUGCAGGACCAGGCCUACCCUGGGUCUCCAGGAUUGGGCUCAGAAGAAUGACAGGCACCAUAUAGAAGAAGAAAUACAAGCCUCUGUCAUGAAUAUCUUACAAAACCCCCAGUCCUGCAGAUCCAGGUCAAAAUUGUACAGCUUUAUUCAGGCUAAGCAUUGAAUAAAUAUGGCAAAGGAACAAAACUCCUCAACAUUGCUGAGCGGAGCUGUACAGAGCUGCGGAAAUUGGUACCCUGGCCACAGCAUGGGUGGACACAUUCCUUGGAGUUAAGCAGAAGACUUUCUGUCAGACCAAUGCAAACUCUGUAAAUCCUGCAAACAAAUCUGGCUCCUUUACCCUCAGCCAGAUUCAGCAUCAUUCCUGCACUUACAGCCCACUAAAGUCAACGUUCAAAUUCUCCUUUUAAACCUGGAAAGAGCAUCACAUCAUGCUCCACGAUCAACACAGGGAUGAGCGAUCCAGCCAAGCAGUUAUAUGACUUUUAAUCUUAUCCCAAAAAAUCAGUAGUUUGUAUUUGCACUGGCCAAGUAGUGUGCCAGGUAAGACAUGGGGGCCGGUCCUGUGGAUCCCCAUGCCACGCUGGUGGCAGCUGCCCCCCUCUGCCAGGUAGCUGAGUCCCCUUUAAACUAAAUGCUUGGAGGCUUUCCUGUUAUUAUUUUAUACAGUCAAAAUCAGAAGAGUGUUGGGGACACCCCCUGCCCAUGUUGGAGCAUUGUGGUCAUGUAGGAGGCCAGCCCCCAACUCCACCCUCACUGAUCCCCUGCCAGCACCGGCUGCCGGCUGGAAACCACACACGCUUCAC